AGGACGAACGCUGGCGGCGUGCUUAACACAUGCAAGUGGAGCGACGAACCAGGGCUUGCCCUGGGGCAGAGCCGCGAACGGGUGAGUAACACGUGGGUUACCUGCCUUGAUGACCGGGACAACCCGAGGAAACUCGGGCUAAUACCGGAUGUGCCCGCAAGGGGAAAGGAAGCUUCGGCCUCCGCAUCAAGAUGGGCCCGCGGCCCAUUAGCUUGUUGGUGAGGUAACGGCUCACCAAGGCUUCGAUGGGUAGC
rnacentral:rRNA from 1 species